GCGAGCGUAUAAUGUGAGAGUCUGAGUGUGUGAGUUCGAGUGAUUACUAGCAACAAGACUAGCCUGUGAUUUACUUGGAUUGAACCACAUCCAAACAUGAGGUACCUUGCCCUUCAAGGGGUCUGCUGUGCCAGGUAUAGACAGAACAUGAUGAAGACCUGCAAAUUAUUCGCUUGAUGGCUUCAACACAGUUUGGACGUUCAAAGGACACAAAAUGAAUCCGGCAAGGACUCCAAGAUCUCCGACGUCAGAAGUCGAUCGAUGCAUUUGUGUACAGGCUUGAUUUUGAAAGAGCCAUCAGCUUGACAGUACACGAAGCAAAGCAUGUAGCAUUGUUUAAUAUAAUUAAUAGAGUGAUCCUUGAAAAGAUUAUUUUUGGAUUUUAACCGGCAUUUAAAAAAAUCUUAGCAUUCUAGUACAAUUAUAAAGGGUACCUGUGACCAUAAAUUCAGUUUGACUUUUGAAUUUGAGCAGAAGCCACUAAUAAUCGCUGACGAUUAAAAAUCGCUGUGAAAAAUGAAAUGUUACAUGUGCCUUUUAAACAGUAUUGCCAUUGUAACAGGGAAAUGAAGAACAAUCGUAGCUUUGUACGUCGAUGCUCCUGAAACAAUGUAAACUUUGGCAGAAAAAUUCUUCGAAUAUUGAAAAUAAAAAAAGUGACAAAUCAUUUGGAAUUCUAUUAAAAAUCAGUAAGUAAUUAUUCCCAAUGUGCACUCAUUAGUCAUUACUUA